rnacentral:lncRNA from 1 species
GAAAUACUUUGGGUGUCAGAGAAUUUUUCUUUUCCACCAUUACUGCAAAAAACGUUACUCACCGCCUAGAACCGGAACUCCCGAGUAAAAGGGGACCCUAGUCCCUUGAAAACCAGCUGUCUGUGGGCAGGGUUCACAGGAGGCUUCCCAGAAGCCUGAAGCCACACUCACCCAAUCUUCCUCCGCUUCUCACUCCUCCUGGCUACCUGGCUACCUCUAGUCCGCCCAGACCGUCCCCUCAGAGACCACAGGAGUCUCGGCAUGGAAAGAUUUACCCACGUGACUGGAGGUGGGAAACACCAGCGGGGAUGCUUUUCUGAAGGUAGAGGCUUCUGUGAUCCUGAGGACUGAGAGCUGAGAGAUUUGCCUCCCACCCCCCACCCCACCCCACCCCUGCCACCACAACAAUGGAAAGAAUCGGAGGGGAGGCUCCAACAGAACUCCAUCAGGGGAGGAGGGAGAAUGGGUGCAUCAUCACCGCCUUGGAACGGGAGAAGUUGAAGAAGUCGGCGGUGUAGCCUCCUCUGGCCUUUCCCCUCUCUACCCACAUCCCUUACACUUUCUGCGGAAGUCCUGCAUCUCCGAGACCCCGUCUACACAGGCCUCAGCUACCCCGGAUAACAUUCCAUUGACUCUGGAUCCAAUCCCAGAGGACCUCGCCUGUGCCCUGCUUUCCAACGGUGGUGACAGGGAAUGCGAGUGGGUCUCCAGGUUCCAGCCCCAUUCUUCCUCCCAACCGUGGGGAGGCAGAGAGGGAGGUGAGAGGCGAAUGAAUGGUGGUGGCGGUAAGAAUUCACCCUGGCCGUGACCCCUCCUCCCCGAUAAUCACCCAGCAGCCAUAAAUGCCAUUUGUG